AGUGAACGCUGGCGGUAGGCCUAACACAUGCAAGUCGAACGGCAGCACAGUAAGAGCUUGCUCUUACGGGUGGCGAGUUGCGGACGGGUGAGGAAUACAUCGGAAUCUACUUUUUCGUGGGGGAUAACGUAGGGAAACUUACGCUAAUACCGCAUACGACCUACGGGUGAAAGCAGGGGAUCUUCGGACCUUGCGCGAUUGAAUGAGCCGAUGUCGGAUUAGCUAGUUGGCGGGGUAAAGGCCCACCAAGGCGACGAUCCGUAGCUGGUCUGAGAGGAUGAUCAGCCACACUGGAACUGAGACACGGUCCAGACUCCUACGGGAGGCAGCAGUGGGGAAUAUUGGACAAUGGGCGCAAGCCUGAGCCAGCCAUACCGCGUGGGUGAAGAAGGCCUUCGGGUUGUAAAGCCCUUUUGUUGGGAAAGAAAAGCAGCAGGUUAAUACCCCGCUGUUCUGACGGUACCCAAAGAAUAAGCACCGGCUAACUUCGUG
rnacentral:rRNA from 1 species